GUGUCAAAUUCUGUAAACUUACAGUCUAACUACAACAAUGAAUUAGAAAAACUUCAACUUGAACAAAUUUAAUCAUGCACGUAUUAUAGUACGUAUAAUAUUAUAUUUUUUACAGUCUAUUAUAGCCUAUAAACUUUUUGUUUAAUGCGCAUGCGCCAAAAUACUACGUCAUAACGGCGCACUACUUCAAAUAAAGAACCAAGUAAGUAUCUUGAUAUAUGCUCUCUUUAUUUUUAUUUUUUUCACCGGAACAUAGCAGUUCUUAUGAGUGUAACUUAUUUAGUUUAAUCGCAAUAUGGAGGUGAAUUAAUCAUGUUUCCUGUAAUUUAUUUAUGAUUGCAUUAUAAUAUGAACGUGGUCGCGUGUGUGGGCGUGUUCAAAGAAUUUGGCUGCUGAAAAUAUAAUAUUUUAAUUGAACUCUGACUUUUAAAUGACUUUAAGUUAAAUUUGCAGAACUAAAUUCAAAGAUCUGAUCUUGUAACAUUCAAAGACAAUUAUAUACAUUUAAUCGCUAUUAUAACCACCAGUAAUGCUUAUAAUCUAUUUUUCUUUUUGCAUUUGAAAAGUGAGUUGUUCAAUUACUGUUUGUGUUUGUAAUAUGUAAUAUUUUUGUGCUUAUCUGUUGUUUUAUAUAUUCAUUUUGUAGGAUCAGUACAGAUUUGUUAUUGGAGAUACAGUGCAAGCUGUGUGGAAUCAAAGACCUGUAUUGAUGAGGCCAGUGUCAGUGAACCAGGAUUCACUGGAAUCCUGGUGUUUGUGGGAAAUGUGAAGGAGCUUCUCCCAGGAUUCUACAACAGUGUUGUCCUGAUGACUGAGGUAUUUAUUUUUUUACUUUCUUGCCUCUUUGGAACAUGUCCAUUUAUGCAUACUGUGUAGAGGUGGUUCGCAGCUUCAUGGACAUUUAAGGUUUUCUGCCGAUGAAGA